AUUGAACGCUGGCGGCAGGCUUAACACAUGCAAGUCGAGCGGGGUGAUGGUGCUUGCACUAUCACUUAGCGGCGGACGGGUGAGUAAUGCUUAGGAAUCUGCCUAUUAGUGGGGGACAACAUCUCGAAAGGGAUGCUAAUACCGCAUACGUCCUACGGGAGAAAGCAGGGGACCAGUUGUGACCUUGCGCUAAUAGAUGAGCCUAAGUCGGAGUAGCUAGUUGGUGGGGUAAAGGCCUACCAAGGCGACGAUCUGUAGCGGGUCUGAGAGGAUGAUCCGCCACACUGGGACUGAGACACGGCCCAGACUCCUACGGGAGGCAGCAGUGGGGAAUAUUGGACAGUGGGGGGAACCCUGAUCCAGCCAUGCCGCGUGUGUGAAGAAGGCCUUAUGGUUGUAAAGCACUUUAAGCGAGGAGGAGGCUCUUUUGGUUAAUACCCAAGAUGAGUGGACGUUACUCGCAGAAUAAGCACCGGCUAACUCUGUGCCAGCCGCCGCAGUAA
rnacentral:rRNA from 1 species